GACGAACGCUGGCGGCGUGCCUAAUACAUGCAAGUAGAACGCUGAAGGAGGAGCUUGCUUCUCUGGAUGAGUUGCGAACGGGUGAGUAACGCGUAGGUAACCUGCCUGGUAGCGGGGGAUAACUAUUGGAAACGAUAGCUAAUACCGCAUAAGAGUAGAUGUUGCAUGACAUUUGCUUAAAAGGUGCAAUUGCAUCACUACCAGAUGGACCUGCGUUGUAUUAGCUAGUUGGUGAGGUAACGGCUCACCAAGGCAACGAUACAUAGCCGACCUGAGAGGGGGAUCGGCCACACUGGGACUGAGACACGGCCCAGACUCCUACGGGAGGCAGCAGGAGGGAAUCUUCGGCAAUGGACGGAAGUCUGACCGAGCAACGCCGCGUGAGGGAAGAAGGUUUUCGGAUCGUAAAGCUCGGUUGUAAGAGAAGAACGAGUGUGAGAGUGGAAAGUUCACACUGUGACGGUAUCUUACCAGAAAGGGACGGCUAACUACGUG
rnacentral:rRNA from 1 species